rnacentral:SRP_RNA from 1 species
GGGUGGGACCGGCGCGGCAGAACCCCCCGAACCCCGUCAGGUCCGAGAGGAAGCAGCGGUAAGGAGGCAAGUCUGGGUGCCGCCGGCAAACCUGCCCGGA